GAUCAUGGCUCAGGAUGAACGCUAGCUACAGGCUUAACACAUGCAAGUCGAGGGGCAGCAUUGGAGUAGCAAUACUCAGAUGGCGACCGGCGCACGGGUGAGUAACACGUAUCCAACCUGCCGCUUACUCGGGGAUAGCCUUUCGAAAGAAAGAUUAAUACCCGAUGGUAUAAAGAGUUCGCAUGUUCUCUUUAUUAAAGAAUUUCGGUAAGCGAUGGGGAUGCGUUCCAUUAGAUAGUUGGCGGGGUAACGGCCCACCAAGUCUACGAUGGAUAGGGGUUCUGAGAGGAAGGUCCCCCACAUUGGAACUGAGACACGGUCCAAACUCCUACGGGAGGCAGCAGUGAGGAAUAUUGGUCAAUGGACGAGAGUCUGAACCAGCCAAAGUAGCGUGAAGGAUGACUGCCCUAUGGGUUGUAAACUUCUUUUAUAAGGGAAUAAAGUGAGGGACGUGUCCCUUUUUGUAUGUACCUUAUGAAUAAGGAUCGGCUAACUCCGUGCCAGCCGCAGC
rnacentral:rRNA from 1 species